CGAUUCGGAGGAUCCUUACCCAAAAUGACGAAUGGUGAUGGCCAAACAUAGGAAGACGAUGAUGACGAUGAGGGAAGAUGGAGGAUCGGUGUCACAGAUCAGGGACAGAACACACCAAAUAGGGAAGAUGGAAGAUCUAUUGAUGAUGGGGGAAGACGAUGAUGGCGGUCGGUGGACAGAACACAGACCAGGGAUGGAACAUCUACUUCGAUGGAAGACGACUUUGAUCGACGAUGGUGAUGAACGACUU
rnacentral:lncRNA from 1 species